rnacentral:rRNA from 1 species
UACGGGGGGGGCAAGCGUUGUUCGGAAUUACUGGGCGUAAAGGGCUCGUAGGUGGCCAACUAAGUCGGAGGUGAAAUCCCUCGGCUUAACCGGAGAACUGCGUCCGAUACUGGUUGGCUUGAGUUUGGGAGAGGGAUGCGGAAUUCCAGGUGUAGCGGUGAAAUGCGUAGAUAUCUGGAGGAACACCGGUGGCGAAGGCGGCAUCCUGGACCAAUACUGACGCUGAGGAGCGAAAGCCAGGGGAGCAAACGGG